UGAGAAGUAAUCAAUACUAUUAAAAGGGAAGGAGUCCUAAAAAACUACUUAAAACAAGUCAUAAUUGGACCAUUUCAUUUAACUAGAAUUCCUAUUAUUUCUCAUACUACUAACUUCAUUAUUCUUCACUAAAGACAAAUUAGUCAUAAAAAAUGAUACUAACAUAAUUCUCUACAUAUACAUUUACUAUAUACACAUUAUUCCAUCAUAAUUAUUUUGUGUUAUUAUUAAAUAAUGUCCACCCUAUAUUUGUAAUGAUUACUUGUAAUUUAUUUAAUAGUAAAUAUCUUUGGAGACUAUAAACAUAAUACAAUAUCUAUUGUAAAAAAAAUUGCAUCUUUUACAAAGAUCAACCAUUAUUUUAUACCAACCUUAUUAACUAAACUGAUCUCAUUAACCAUGUUAUAUAUAUGGACACUUCAGCAUUAUCAUUCACAAACUAAAGGAUGUUUGUCACAACUUAAUAUUCCAAAUUGGUUGUAUUAUUUAAUACCAAACCAGUUCUUAUACGAAUCCAUAUAUAUGAUUAUGGUCUACAUAAAACUGGUUCAAUCUUUCCAUCUGCUAUAUUUUCAGAAAAUUGCUAUUUAUCUUUGGUUCUGUUAAAUAUUUAGUCUAACUAAUUAUAAAUCGGUUAGUGAUAACUUCUAAAAACUUUGAAAACACAUAGUUAUGUAUUAACACUAUAUCGAUACUUUAAAAUAGGUUAGCAGUAGAAUUGUGUGUUUAGAACAAAAUUUACUUAUUUUAAAACAUAAUAUUAUUUUGAAAAUAGUUUUGAUACUAUGUGUUAUAUUAAACAUAGUUAUAUAUAUAUUUUAAAUAAAUAAUUAUAUACAUAAUUUAUACUUUUGGUUAACUAAUUUAUUUAUCAACCAAAUAAAAAUAUUCAGGUAAUUCAAGUUUUCGGGUUAUCCGGUUUAUAAAUAGAAUUUUUAUGAUAUUUGGUUAUUUAAAAUUGAAUGUAAUUAAUAUUUUUAAAUAUAUAGUUUUUAUUUGAAAAUUCAGGUACUCAUUUGGUUCUCGGUUUGGUUUUAAUUUUUCAGUCAUAGAUAUAUGGUUUGCUCUAUUAUUUAUGCAAUUCAGUUCAAUUUUGGUUUUUCAGUUUAGUACGGAUUGGUCUGUGUUUUUGGAUAAAUGUGCUCAAACUUAUACAUUAUCUUAUAUAGAAAUUUGUUUAAAAUAUAUUUAAUUAUAAAAACAAAUCCGCGCUUUUCAAGCACGGGUCAAAAUCUAGUUUGUAGUUAAAAUACAACUGUGACAAAUACCACCUAAUGAGAUGGUUUUUGAUAAAACAGAACAGUUCUUUGAUUUUUAUCGUUUAGACCUUAAUGGCUAUAAAAAAAAAAAGAGAGGUAAUUGAAUCAGUUGAGAACUGCUGGUUUGGUGAUUAAAAAGCUGCUGAAAUUUUGUGUGUCGGCUCCUUCUAGUGUUACCUGCUUGCACCUGGAAGAAGCUCCCGUAAACCUAUAAGGGAAUUGUCUUGAAAAGGAGAACAAUAUGAUCGGAGAAGAAUCCGAUCGAGACGAGUUCAAGAGGAGGAUCGGGAAGACUAUAAAGAUGAAGUUAAAAUCGGAGAACUGGGUUUGUCCGCUCUAAUACUGUAUUGAUAUUUUAAUUCUAUCAAUCAUCUUCAAUUUUGACCUCUUCGUUAAUAGUUAAUCUUUUGAUUUUAAUGAAUCAAGUGGUUCAAGUGGUCGUUUGUUUUGUAUUUACUGUUAAAGUCAAAUUGGGUUUUGUUUUCAUACAAGUUACACCAGAGAAAAGAAAAAAAUUCAAGGUACAUCUCACUCUGAUACGUUGUGCACACGUACAUGUAACAUUUAAGUCUGAGCUUGCUAACCUUGAGGCCAACUUUGUUUAGAAGUUCAGUGAAGAUAUUAUAUGUUUUCCAUCGACUUGUCCUUGUGUGAGGGUGGUGCAGGUUGAUGCUGGUGGGGUGGCACAAUCAGCUGUAGAAUUUUUUGAACAAGUAAACAAUUUGAACCACGUCACAGAAUUUGUUUGUGCAAUGAAGAAUGAAGAUGUUGCACGAGAAAGGAGAGUACAGUCAAGGGAAAGAAAGCUAAAUAGAGAAAGCUCUAAACUCUGGUGGACACAGGUGGCAAGAAAUCCAAUUCGAUGGGACCUCACGGUGCCGAUGUGUCCAAGAACCACGCAUGUUCCUUCGCCUGACCGUCAAAGCACCACCCGUAGAGUCGCCCCGCGGCCCCAAACGCCUGAACUGAAAGAUUGAGGUUGGCUCUAUAACCCUAACGCCGUAAUCCGUCUGAAACUCACCCUUCCUCCUAGGUCCGAGAGACCACAUAUACCUUCUCACAGUUACGGCGGCGAAACAAAGAUUCCGAACCAGAGAGAAGCCAUCAAGAGAACCGCCAUCCCAUAUAGUAGAACCUCCAACAUAGAAACUCGCUCCACCCAUGCACCAAACUCCGGUAGUAGACUAGCGGUUAACGGCGCCGUUCCCGCUCUUCUAAUAGGAAGCUGACAGCCUGACACCUUCACCGACGAACCACCAGAGCGACGGUGCUCACCUAGAGAGCUGCAGCACCAUAGACCAGUGUCGUGCUAGAACUUUUGGGAGCUCAUGGCUAAUUUUAAAAAUAAAAUUUUAAAAUAUGUAAUAGAAAAUAUGAAUUUUAAUUGUGAUACAAAAACCAUUUUUAUUAGUAAUUUAAAAGUAAAGGUUAAAAUCAUAAGUAGAAAACUGGUAUUUUUAGAGAAAGUUAAAAUAAUAAUCUGGUAUUUUAGAAAGAUAAAGAUAAUCAUUUAAAUACAAAUGAUAAAAAUAAUAAAAAUAAAAGUGAUAAUAACAUAAUAUUGAAUAAAAAUAAUGGUAGGUAAAGUAUACAACAUUUUGUCAGUUUUGAUAGAUAAAAUAUGUAUGUUGAAACUUAUUAUUAUUAUUUUUUUAUGAAUUCCUUUAUCAAACUAUCAUAAUGUAUAAAUAAAAAUACAAACAACUAACUUUUGGUAAGGAAAAAAUUGGAUUAUAGUAAGUAACAAAAGCAAAACAAAAAUCAGAAUUGUGAGUUGGAGCGUAUCGGUUCUUAAAUUAAUUAUUUGCAUUUUAGUUAACACAUAUUAAAAUUGAUUAGGAUAAAACAUUCAGCAAAAACAAAAAUCAAAUUCAGAAUCAGGUGAAAAUCUAUCUAAAACUAUACAUUUAGCUCUAUAGAAUAAUUUUAUAAAACUAGGGGGCCUAAAUUUGCACAUUUUCAGAACCUUUUUUCAAACCAUGGUAAGCACGUCUCUGCCAGAGACCUAACCCAACCGGAAGGGGAGAGAGAGAUAUACCACCUUGACGAUACAUGACGAUUAAUCCUCUGUCUUGUUGAUCAGAUACCGGGUGGGAAGACGAGACGAGCUCCGACGAGGUCAGCGGAAGACACGCAGCGCCUCCACUCAUGGAGAACACGAAGCUUGAAGAUGAGAGAAAAAGUUUGCCGCCCAUUAGAUGCACUCGCGCCACUCAAAGGUCGACCAUGUAACUUUCGUAGUGACCUAGUUGAUACAAUUAUUGCGAAUCGAAUAUGGAAUAGAUAUGCAUGUUAGUUCAUUUUCGAAGAAAAUAAGAGGACUUGUUCCUGACUUCCUGCUCUCAAGUUUCUCUACCUAAAUGGUAAACCGGAACUAAUAUAUGAAUAGCCAAAUCGUUCAUACUAGACCAUCUGACCAUGUAUGUUUCAAAUUCAAUUGUCUAAACUUCCACGUUAAAAGUCACCAACAUGGAAUUUAUAGAUGUGAACUUUGGAAGGCUGUAAAAGACAGUCUUGUUUUCAAACAUAAAGUUUGAGUCAAAAACAUUUUUGUAACACAAACGUUUUCGGGUUUGAGAUAAUCUUUGCACUGUGUUACAAAAAAAAAGAUAUCUUUGCAAAAUGCAAGCACAAAGAAAAUGUUUCAGGUUUGAGCUAUUAAAACAAAACUUGUACAGUACACAAAAAAA